rnacentral:rRNA from 1 species
CGCAUCUGUGCAUGCAGCAUAUCAAUAAGCGGAGGAAAAGAAACUAACAAGGAUUCCCUCAGUAACGGCGAGUGAAGCGGGAAGAGCUCAAAUUUGAAAUCUUGAAAGGUCACCUUUCACGAAUUGUAGUUUAAAGAAGUGUUUUCUGUUACGAUCGUAAUAUAGGUUCUUUGGAAUAGGACAUCACAGAGGGUGAGAAUCCCGUCUAUGAUUGCGAUUUGUAGCUUUGUGAUACACUUUCAAAGAGUCGGGUUGUUUGGGAAUGCAGCCCAAAACGGGAGGUAAAUUUCUUCUAAGGCUAAAUAUUGGCGAGAGACCGAUAGCGAACAAGUACCGUGAGGGAAAGAUGAAAAGAACUUUGAAAAGAGAGUUAAAUAGUACGUGAAAUUGUCAAAAGGGAAGCGUUUAACACCAGUGUUGUUUUCUGAAAAUCAACCUCUGUUAGCUUUAUGCAUGUUUGUUUAGACCUAAUCAGCUAUCUUGCAUGUUCUAUUGUUUGCAGUGGUGCACUUUUCAGUUUACAGGUCAACAUCAGUUUUUUUUUACCGUAAAAAAGUUAAAGAAAGGUAGCUCAUGGCUCCGGUCGUGAGUGUUAUAGUCUUUUUCCUAUGCGGUAGGAGAGACUGAGGUCUGCAGUGUAGGCUAUUUGGCUAGAUACUCAGGUGCUAUGUGAUACCAUUUCAUAAACAACUUGUUGAUUAUGUUUUGUCUAUUGCAUACUCGCUUGUACUAUCAUACCUACGCUUAGGAUGUUGACGAUCAGCUGAGCGCG